GGACCCGUAGUGUAGUCGGUUAACACGCUUCCCUGUCAAGGAAGAGAUCACCGGUUCGAGUCCGGCCGGGUCCGCCG
rnacentral:tRNA from 1 species